ACUCCUACGGGAGGCAGCAGUGGGGAAUAUUGCACAAUGGGCGCAAGCCUGAUGCAGCCAUGCCGCGUGUAUGAAGAAGGCCUUCGGGUUGUAAAGUACUUUCAGCAGUGAGGAAGGUGGGUAUGUUAAUAGCAUAUUCAUUUGACGUUAGCUGCAGAAGAAGCACCGGCUAACUCCGUGCCAGCAGCCGCGGUAAUACGGAGGGUGCGAGCGUUAAUCGGAAUUACUGGGCGUAAAGCGACAUGCAGGUGGUUUGUUAAGUCAGAUGUGAAAGCCCGGGGCUCAACCUCGGAAUUGCAUUUGAAACUGGCAAACUAGAGUACUGUAGAGGGGGUAGGAAAUUUCAGGUGUAGCGGUGAAAUGCGUAGAGAUCUGAAGGAAU
rnacentral:rRNA from 1 species